UACAUUUCACUAAUUUGCGAGUAUUUUGGAUUAGGUUUGAAAGCUGAAAACUGUACUGGGAAACUUAAUAGCAAAUUCUCUCAAUAUUUGAAACACUGCCGAAGACAACCAAAAAUAAGGAUUUAAUUAUUGAUAUUUGUAUUUUACAUUCAUUUAGAGAAAUAUACAAUUAUUAGUGCAAAAAUAGAAGAAAACUACAAAUUCUAUUGUUUCGAAAGUGUAGUGCAAAUCCAUCCAAAAGAUUGCCAUGGUAAAAUGGGACUGGGCAAAACACAUAGGAAGAAUGGAAGACAAUCUUUGGAAGAAGCAAAUUGUUAAAUAAAGACCAAGAGAAAAUAAGAGAAGUAAAGGAAGACCUCAAACCAGAUGGGCUGAUGACAUCAAGCCACUGGCGAAGCGUCCAUGUAACCACUGUUACCAUUGGUAACAGUUAAAAAUCUUGCAAAUAAAUAUUUUAUGACGAUGAAUAA